CCAUUGAUCGGUCAUUACUUCAAGAUCCCAAAUGCAAGGAAAAUAGAUUAAAUUACAUUAGAGGUGAUCAUGAUAAUCCAUGUAUAAACUUACAGCCCCCUAGAGAGCAUUUCACAAGUGUCAAAAAUUAUAAAUUGUAUAUAAUAAUUUGUCUCUAAAUUACAAAGGAAAAGACCUUAUAUAGAGGUUACAAAUAGCUCUAAAAGAAAAGAUUGCAUACUAAUUACAAUAUUAAUUAUUAAGAAAAAUAAUCUUGGAGAAAGUAUCACUGAGAAUCAUAUCUUUCCAUAAGUUAACAUCCUCCCUUGAAAUCAAGAUGUUUCUAGACACCAAAUUGAGAUUUGCCUGUACUAAGAGCAUCUCGAAUGCAAAUGUAGAGAGCUUAAAAAAUUGUGUCACAUAAAAUACACGAAUUUAAAAAAAAAAAUAUCUCUCCUAUACAAAUUGAUAGGGACUUCAUCAAGAUAACUUGAUAGAGAAAAAAAAAAAAAAAAAAAGAAUGUCUAGAGGUCCAUAUAGAUUCAAAAGCUCUGUAGGACGAAGUGACUCAGUACAUUUAUACUCUCCGAUGAAAAAAAAAAAAAAAAAAAAAAAAAAGAAUGUCUAGAGGUCCAUAUAGAUUCAAAAGCUCUGUAGGACGAAGUGACUCAGUACAUUUAUACUCUCCGAAUUUAGAUGUGGUUUCUUUUUUCUUUUUUUUUUUCAUUUUAACAAAAUUAGCAUUGGAGACUAAUUUUGGACUCGAGUAUCUAUUUAUUAGACAUCAAUGCCAUGUAAUUUUUGUACCACCUAAAUAGCAAUCCAUAUUGCAUCGGAGAUGCUCUAAUCUUUUGUGGCACAACAGCCACCAAAAUCUAUCCAUGCUAAACAUCUUGUCCUGACUUAUACAUGCGACUAUUUUUUGUUGGAAGGUAGAAUCUUAUACUUUUAAAGCAUUUGUCGUUAAUUUCUGCUAAUUCUUCUCUAGUAUUGCAUUCAAAGUCACUGUUUAUAGCCACUUGCAUCAGGUCUACAAUUGCCAGCCAUGAUAAUUACACUUUAGUUACACAAGACUUGCCAGUCAUGGUAGAAGGAUCCUACCACCACAUGAUUUUCUCUCCAAAUUUAGACGUGAAUUUUUUUUUUAUCUUUCAAAAAUUAUCACUGGAGACUAGUUUUGGACUUGAUUAUCUAUUUAUUAGACAUCAAAGCCAUGUGACUUCUGUACCACCUAAAUUGCAUAUAUUAUGGCACAACAGCCACCAAAAUCUAUCCAUGCUAAACAUCUUUUACUGACUUAUACUUGCUACUAUUUUAGAUUGGAAGGUGGAAUCUUAUCCUUCUUAAAGCAUUUUCGCUGAUUUCAGCUAAUUCUUCUCUAAUAUUGCCUCCAAAUUCACUGUCCAGCUCAGCAACAAAAACAGCCUUAAAAUUCUCCAUGUAACAAAUUUAAAUGAUGCAUCUCAGUAGUACAUAGCUACUUGCACGAGGUCUACAAUUGCCAGCCAUGAUAAUUACACUUCAGUUACACACGACAUGCUGCUCAUGGAUGAUCAAUCCCUAUCCACCCUGUGAAUUGAGAAAAUUUUCCCUAUAUUCAUAAUGCAGUAAUACGUUGAAUCAAAGAUCCACAAAGUUAGAUGUUUGAAAUACCAACAUGUUUUUGACAUAUAUCAUAAAUGUGAAUAAAUUAAAACAAUCCAAAAGUAAAUCAUUGCAAAAUUUAAGAACUCCGAUCACGUAAAGAUGAUAUUUUCAUGUGCUAAUAGUCCAAUCGUAUCAUUAGUCUUCUCAGAGACCAAUUUCUUAUAACGACCUUUCUAUUAGACUUUUGUUAUUUGGGACACUGAACGAGUUCGCAGAGAGACAAGUUAUUAUAUAACUCAACCAUACAUGAUCAACAUAAAUCUACAUUAUAAUUUCACUUUCAUGGUAAUGGUAUUAUCCCAGCCUCUUUCAGAAACUGCUACUUUGUUGAGAAGUAGCAAGAUUUUUGAAUCCUGAGUCCCGACAGUCAGUCAGAAAUCUUGUGUUGGAGUAAAUGAAUCACCUUUUCUGAGUGGGAUAUGUGCCCAAUAGCUGAUCACCAAGGAGAGGAAGAGGAACAAAUCAGUACACC
rnacentral:lncRNA from 1 species